GGGUCGUUAGCUCAGCUGGUAGAGCAGCGGACUCUUAAUCCGUAUGCUGCUAAUGACUUA
rnacentral:tRNA from 1 species